UAUUGGACAAUGGGCGCAAGCCUGAUCCAGCCAUGCCGCGUGAGUGAUGAAGGCCCUAGGGUUGUAAAGCUCUUUCACCGGUGAAGAUAAUGACGGUAACCGGAGAAGAAGCCCCGGCUAACUUCGUGCCAGCAGCCGCGGUAAUACGAAGGGGGCUAGCGUUGUUCGGAUUUACUGGGCGUAAAGCGCACGUAGGCGGGCUAAUAAGUAAGGGGUGGAAUCCCGGGGCUCAACCCCGGAAAUGCCUUUGAUACUGUUAGUCUUGAGUAUGGUAGAGGUGAGUGGAAUUCCGAGUGUAGAGGUGAAAUUCGUAGAUAUUCGGAGGAACACCAGUGGCGAAGGCGGCUCACUGGACCAUUACUGACGCUGAGGUGCGAAAGCGUGGGGAGCAAACAGG
rnacentral:rRNA from 1 species